AAAAGAUACGAUUUGAAUAUUAUGCCUGUGACACCCUCAGCAAGUUACUUAGCCUCUGUGGACCUUGGUGAUAUAAGUACUACAUGCUUAGACUUGCCUUGUUACUACAUAUAUAUAUAUAUACAGGUAAGAGUUUAUAUGGUGCCUUAGUGAUUUCUUUGCUCUUAAAUGUUUUUAAAUUACUUAGCUCUUGAUGAGUAACUGGGUCUGCAUGUCUGCUGGAGUGUUUACCGAUUAGUUGCCAUCUCUACAAUAGCACCCUGAUUUUCAGAUGGAUUUGAAAUGGAUUUUCACAUAUAUCAUCUUCAUUCUCACAAUGCUGGGAGAUUUGCCACUAGGUAAAUUGUUUACCCCACGGUAGGAACUUCACACAAGAAAAACUGACAGAUGCAGUGCUGAUAGAUAUAAGGGGGCAAUGAUGUUUCUCCAAAUACUAGUGUUAUAAAAUCCAGGCUGGGUGUUCCAGUUUGAUGGACAGGUCCUUUUAGCUUGUGGCUCCAUCAUCUCCAAGGCUUUGUCACCAUCUACAUCAAGUCUGAAGAAAGGAAGAGAAACCUGUAGGAGGUUCAUCUGCUUCUUAAAAACCUCAACACUAGAAGCAACAUGCCUCACUUCUCUUCACAUUCCAUUGAAAAUGAAGCCCUCCCGCAACCGCCACCAAGGUUCAAAGAGUACCAGCCAGUAGUAUUUUGUUGGUGAUCCAUGAUUUAGAAAAGAUCCAUUAAUUUUGGCAAGAGAGAUCAAAGGUGCCAUGAAGGAGCUCACCUUCCCUGGAAGCCUAGCAAGGAGGGAGAGAUGAGAGAAUGCCUCGCAGGAGAGGGAAACUGAGCAGAGUGAGGUCCACUCCCAAGCCCCUUCCUGCCCAGAAGACGUGGAUCCGAGCUUCCUCUCUGCAAGUAAUGGUGCCCCUGGCCAUUCCUGUAAAUUCUGCCUAAAGACCCUACCCAGUCCUCAGAAAUAAUAUCGUUUCCAAAAUUAUUGAUGUGGACCAUACUGCACAUGUCUGCCACUCCCCGAUUCCAAACCUUCCAAAAGUCUAAGGGCCAAUAGGAUCUGACCCUGACUGUAUCUCCUGCUACUCUCCUCUCUGUUUCCUUUGUAGCCUCCCUGGCUCUACUUUUGCCUGAAUAGGUCAAGCACAUCCCUCCCUCAGCAUAUGCUGUUUCCAUGCCUGGAAUGGUCUCCCUCAGGUACUCAUGUGCUCAUCCUUCAUUUCAUUUAGGGCCCACGCCCAAAUUCAUCUUAUCACAGAACUUCCCUGGCUAUCCCAAACUGCGGGCUAGUUAUAAUAGUGAUCUGAAUGUAUAUAUAUUCUCUGAGCUAGACUGUAAGCUCAGGAGGACAGGGACUUUGUCUUCUCUAAUCAACACCAUAUCAUCAGCACAGCAAAUAGUCCCUAGCACAUGGUCAGCACUCAAUAAAUAUUUGCUGGUAAAUGUUUUGAUUUGUGGGGCAGGGUCACACUUGCUGGUCCACCCAGUGUCUCCAGCACAGAUUUGGAUCAUGGGCCUACAGUUACUAUUUGUGUUGAUUGUAUCCUUCGUUAUAUGUGCGUAUGUACGCAUUUGUUAAAAAUAGUGCUAAUAAAAGGGCUACUUUGUUUUGAUGUUUGCAAAUUGCAAGAUAGCCAUGGUUGCAAGGCCAGGAAGCCAUGUGGCCAGGAAAUAGAGGACAACUUCAGAACAUCAGCCCCACAGGCUUCCGCCAGUGCUCAGGGAGGGCAGGCUGGCAUGCCUUCCUGCUGACUUCACCCGGCCAGCACAGGGGAGCGAAACUGUUAGAUUAUGCCUGGCCUCUGAGCCAUUCUGAGAACAGAGUUCAAAGAGGGACUCCCUGUGGGCUGGUGGCUUAGGAACAAUGAUCUCUUGACUCAGAUCUGUUUGGGGUCCUCAUAUCUCCCAUAUGGCCCCAGGCUUUGGCCAUCCCGGGUUGGGAAAUUUGUUUGCUGUCUUCUUUUGUUUUUCCUAAUUAUGUGAAGCAGUGAAAGGUCAUGGAAGGACCACAAGACUUCCCAGUUUUUCUUCACUUGGUUUCCUCUCUCUUCCCUAGGAGACAAGGUCCCCACCAUGUGAAAUACUCAUCAGACAGAAUCAAGAGGGGUUUCCCAAUUGGCUGUUGUUCCUACAGUUCUACCAAAGGUUUCAUUGACUGGGUCUUUUUGGUCUGAUUUGCAUUCAUAAGUGGUGACAUCAUUUAGCAUCUGCUGGUCCAAAAUCCACCAAGCACAUAUAUUUUCAAUCUUUUAGGUCUUUCAUUAUCUAUUUACUAAGCAUCUGAGACAAUGCAUUAAAAGGAAAAAGUCAAAUCUUGCCUUGCUUUCAAGCACAACAUCCUAGUAUGUAAAAAGAGGGGAAACUGGAGCAAUUCUGCAGGAAGCUACUUCUGGGGUAACCCCAAGGGAACUUCUACAAUCACCAGGGCUCCCAAAACCAUGGUCUGAAAACCUCUAGGCAAGAAUAUUUUUAAAUGUGAAAUAAAGAAGUGUUCCUCUCAAGUCUCUUUCAGUAGCUGAUUUUAAGUAACAUGCCCCAAAUUUAAACCACAGUCUGGUUAACCCUCUGGCAAGCUAUUGAAAUUCACACUGCUUGGCCAGUAGAUAGGCCUGAAGGUCAAUUUAGAGAAAGGAAGAUCCCACCAAAAUCAAAUAUUGCUUGAAAACACUUCUGUCUACAGGUCUGCAUCCAGAUGGGUCAGGGUUCACUAGAUAUUGUGGCAUCACAUUGUUCAAAUGGGACCAGGCAAUAGAGAUUCUGGCAUCGAACAGGAGGCCUGUUCAUUGUAGUGUGGUCAGUUUCAGCAGUGCAGGAAGCAUGUGAAGGCUAGCUCCAUGAGCAGUUGGAUUUUCUGGAUCUUUUCUCAGGCAAUGUGGGAAACAGAUGGUGAACACAUAGUCAUUUCCUUUCCCAUCUGAUCCUCUGGGCAACUAUCUGUGGUUGACUGGAUGAUUCCAAUGUUGAAGUCACGAUGGUUCUCUGAUAGAAAUAACUCAAUUUGCAUCUAGGGAUAAAGAACAAAAUACAACUUUUUCUGGUUGAGUACAAAUUGGGUAUCUUUGAAGUUAUACAUUUUAAAGAAUUUUAAAUGUCCAAUGUUACAAGUCAAAUUAUGCACACACCCCCCCCCAAAAAAAGAGAUAUGCCCAAGUCCUAAUCCUCAGUCCCACGAAUGGGACCCUACUUGGGAAAUAGGAUCUUUGAAGAUGUGAUUAGUUAAGACGGGGCCAAACUGGAUGAGGGGGCCUCUACUCCAACAUGAGUGCUGUUCUUUAGGAAGGGGAGAACUGGGCACAGUCACAGGGGAGAAGGUGUGUGACGACUGAGGCAGAGAGUGGGGCCCAAGGAUUGCUGGCAAACCACUAGAUGCCAGGAAGAGGCAAAGGAGGACUCUCCCCUACAGAUUUCAGACUUCUGAGCUCCAGAAGUGGGAGAUGAUACAUUUCUGUUGCUUCAGCCAUCCAGCUUGUGGUACUUUGUUAAGGAAA